AGUGUCCUCCUGUUACUCCUAAUCACAGCACAAAAACACAAGUGCUAAGUCCAUAAAAAUAAGUGAAUCCCCAUUACUGUCCGCGCUGCUUUGCAAUUACCGCAUCUCCCCCAAUCGUCAUUCCUCAUUCAUCAAACACAUCAAAGUUUUACUUUCAAAUUCCAUUGCAAGUGUCAAUAUCGUUCCAUCUCCGCUGAUAAAACCUCAACUUAGUAUUAAAGGCUAUUAAGAAUUCACAUCUUACCCACAAUAAAUUGUGAAUCUCGGGGAUUUCCACUCUUAACAGCAGUAAGAAACGUCACCUGACUCAUUCAGGUCCAAGCUCAAGUCGUCUAUAACCAUUACCAAAAAAUAAAUAGAACGAAAAAGAACCAGUAAAACCUUUCGACGAACGUCCGAGUGAUGUCAGGCGGAGAAUAGAAUCUCCAAAGUGCAGACGGUGGCGGACAGACCACAACAAAACGUUUGCAUCGAAACGCAAAAUACAAAAAAAACAAGAGUGAGAGAGGUAGAAGUGACUGAGAGAUCACAAGAGCUUUAUCUUUAUUAUGCGCCGUUGAGUGCUGAGUGAAUUGUCAAGUGAAAUCAGAAAUGGCUGCCAAUGAACAACAGCAGAAGGAGGACAGAGAGUCCGGCGAGCCAGCUCACCACGCUCGUCGUCCAAUGAAUGCUUUUUUGAUAUUUUGCAAACGCCAUCGUACUUCCGUGCGUACGCACUUUCCUAAUCUUGAAAAUCGAGCAGUCACCAGGGUCCUUGGUGAGUGGUGGGCGACACUUCACCCGGACCAAAAACAGUCUUACAUCAAUCUGGCGCAAGAGUAUAAAGAUGCAUUUCUGAAUGCAAAUCCGGACUUCAAGUGGUACAAAUUACCGGCACCACCUCUGAGAACAUUGUCAACACGACCAACAAACAAGAAACAGGAGAUUGGGGGGUUCGAUCAGACUUCCGAGACAGCAGUCUCACAUUUCGAGUCUUCCAGCUCAGACGUCGGAAAGAACGCGAUUCAGCCCGGCAAAUUAGCUGACGAAUCCCAACUCGGUGGUCUCAGUUCACUCUUCACACCCCAAAAGAUUCAUCAACCGGCAAGUGAUGGAGAUACCCUUGGAAAUUUCUCUGAGGAGAAUUCUUCCAUACCGAAACCUCCGAAAAAACGUUACACCGAACUGCCAAUAGACUUGGAACAAAAACGAGACUGCAAAGCUGAUCUGUUCAGCCAGUGUGAGGACCCUACCGAGUCCAAUAAUAAUGAGGAGCAUCGGUUCAAUGAGGAGGUGAAUAAAAACGAGAGCACAUUCAUAGACGAGAGCGAGGGUACUAUUGAUGAAACGAGUUAUAGAGGGGAAAGGAGCUGUAAGGGAGUUAGGUACCAAAAAUUUCUUGCCGAGCAACAAAGGACACUUGUGCCCAUGACCCAAGGAAAACGAAAAAGAUUUGGUGGUGGUGAGAAACUGAGAAAGGAACGAAGGAAUUCUAUAUCGUCCAAUGUGAGCGAAAAGACUGAUUCAUUAAGUAGCGAAGGGGGUAAUAGCACACGCAGCGAUUUGGAGCAUCUUGUUGAUAGUGCUGAAGGCCGAGUUGAAGCAUCUAAGCCAGAGGAUACUGAGACUGAAGGAGCUGAACCUGAUCAGGAAUAUGCAGCAUGGAAUGCACGAAAACGUUUCAACGCAGAAGAUUUUAAUCUAGAGAAAAAAAUUGAAGCUUUGCCAUCAUUGAGUUUGGAGGAAUUCCAAGAGAAAAAGAAGCAGCAGCGAACUAAGAAAAAGAAAAUUCACCAAAAAUUGCAUGUGAAUUCCGCAAAACGUGGCCAUACGAGUCAGAAUUAUGAACAAAUGAAUCACCUGAAUGAUUCUCAUGAGGAAACGGAGAAGGCCUUGCUGGUUGGGAGCCAAAAACGAAAAGCUAGAAAACAAAGUAUCACUCGAAAUGCAUCUGCCACUGUUUCCAAGGAUCCAAAUGAUAAAGAGGGAGGGCAACCCUGGUCACCGGACUUAGAGGCGCUGGCAUGUCUCGCUGAACUCGCUGCCAACCGAACGAAACUUACCAAAUAACUUUGAAUAUCUUUUUUCUAUGAAUCACCGAUUAUCAAGUUUGUUAUCAGCAAUGAAUUCGUAGAACCACUGAUUGCGUCAGCAUGCUAUACAUAAAGAAUAAUUCUUACAGUCAUCUCCUAUACAUAUUUCUACGAAGAAUUUUACUCUCAGCUUUUAUUUCAUAACUGUCAAUUUUUAUUAGAUGUUUUUAAAAAGAAAGAGAUAGAGAGAGAUAGAUAGUGUACUGAAUGCAGGGAUCUAUUUUUUCAUCUAAUUGAACGUUUGAAUAACAUAUUGGAAUAUACACUUUUUCAAUUAUUUCUUUACUAUAUUACGAUUUUUACGCAAAGAAUAUCUUAUCAAUAUUUGCUGUAUUAUGGAGUUUAAACGCAGGUAUCGUCUGGAGCAUUAAAUGGCAAAAAGUUGGUUGGGUUUUGGAAAACCGAAUGAAUUAUUGUUUUAUACAUUUUUUACUUUAAACAAAUUCAUUCGUUAUUGUUGACUGAUUAAAUGUAUCGGUGCUUCAAGAUUUAUUAUAGAAUACGAACGAAGCGAAGAAUGAAUAUGUUGAGCGACUAUGGAUAAUUUCAGUAGGAAAGUGGUGAGCACAUAACAAGAGAUGAGAGUCGAUAUCUUCAACGAGAAGCGGAACGGAGAAAUUCAUCAGAUAUUGUUGGGUAAAGAGAAGCGGUUUUAUGAACUGAAAAAGGUUCUACUCCUUUUUUCUCCUCAAGUUAUGAACUAGCGAGAUGGUUCAUUAAUGAACAAUAUCUAGUGUAUUUCAACUACAGUAUAAAUUUGGUCAAUUGUAUAAUUGUCUCUAAAAUGAAUCACUCCAGGAGAAAAAGCCAAGACUCCAUUUUUAAGUCUGAGGAGCACCCUUCAAAUGACAUCUUUCACUGUUCUCAAAAUUUACAAAUUUCGAGGAUAUUUGCUAAAUUAUUGAUGUGAUGUAUCCCAUCUCCUGUUGUUUCAUCACCUUGCUACUUCACAUGGGCAUUUUAGACUAUGAAAAUGGUUGAAAAUCGAGAAGAAGAAUUUAAUGAUUUUUCAGUCUUAUUAUUGGUAAUCCUACGAUGUUAUUUUCAUUAUUCUAAUUAAUGUACUCUUAGUUAUCGACAUUUUGAUAUAAAAAAGAAAAUACUUUGCCCGAGUUUAUGGUGAAGAUUGUCUCGUGUAAAUAGAUAGUAGCAGUAUUAAACCAACAAUGUCCUCUUACACUUUAAAAAUAAUAAUUAUAAAAGGAGAAAAUCAAAAUGUAUCGAGAAGGAUUGGUAUGAAAUCAGUGGUGAAGUAAAACGAAAUUAUGGACUUCACUUUAAAAUCAGUUCUUUGGGGAAGACCUUGCAAAUCCGAGAGCGAUAAUGACAUUUUAAUAAGAAGCUUUUUCGGACUUCCCCUUUCGCUCUGUAGUAAAGCUCCUUGCGGAAACAUUGCAAUCCCUCUUGGACCACGAGAUAUUCAUCAAAAACUCAUCUCUGGGUUUUCUAUUGAAUUUUUUCAUACGUGUUCAAUUAAGUGAUUUCGUUUUACCUCUUGACAACCGAUAUAUAUCUGCACACGUAUGUAUAUUGACUCGAUGUGACUUAUAUAGUAUGCAGAAGAUGUUUAAUAAAAAUCCACAAAUAUAUUAUAUUAUAUAGAGAAAUAUAAUAUGUUGCAUGUAAGUACGAUGUAUAGUAAUAAGUUUAAAACAACAUAUUCAAACCUAUAUUUAUAUUAUUUAUAUUGACGUAUUUCUCCGAAUUUAAGAUGAUCUACUUUACUGGGAAAAAAAAAUCUUUUUUUUAAUGGCAAUGGAUUUUACGGCUCAUUGACUGGGAGGAAAGUUUGAAAGGCUUGUCUGUGAUUUUGGCUAAACGAAUUCCUAAUCUUUUAUAUUUUUCUAUUCAUUAAUGAGAAAACUCCCUCUUUCGUUCAUGGUACUGCAAAUGGAACAGAUUGCCUGGGGAUAGAAGAUAUACCUAUGAUUGUAGGUAAUCAAUCCAUAUAUGUAGAACUUUCAGGGCCUUAACUUACUUGAGCAAAUUUUUAUAAUCAUCCAUAUUUCAAAUGUGCCUUUAAGAUAAACAAACGUGCAAAGAACUUAUAAAAUGACCAAUUAAUACUGUUCUUUCAUGUGAAUGUUCCAAUUUUUCACAAUUAUCUUUGUGCUUUCUAUGGAAAUACUAAAAGUGGAGGAAACAUUAUUCUAUUUAUGUUAAUUUGUUUUUAUUUUGUUAUUGGAAAUUGUUAUUCUGCCGUAUAAGAGGGCCCGGUGCCCAUGACCUAAUACUGACCAGAUCUUUACUGAUGGAUUAUAGUGGAGAAAUGAAUGAGGAUGCAAGUGAAAUAUAUAAAUCAUUCAUGAUUAUAAUGCACAAGGUAGUGAUGACGUGAUAAAAUGAUUUCAAUAAUUGUUAAUCAUGAGAUUAUCAUCCCGGUUAUCACUGAGUUCAGGUGAAAAUGUAAGUGGGCUUUUUUUAGGGAAAUUUUCUCGGCUAUGAAAAAGCUCUUUUGACAUUUUCUUCUAGAAUCAGAGGUUUCCAAAGACAAUCGUGCAAUUAAUAAGUUUUUAUGAUUGACUUGACUCAUUUUAACACAUUACUACCGAAAUUAUAUGUGUAACAGGCUUUAAUGUAAUUUCCACGAGUUACUUGAGAAUACAGACGUAUGUAUAUAGGAAAAAAACUAUGUAACAUAUUGUAUUUAUAUGCGUGAUAAUACGUAAUAAAGAUAGAAUAUUUUGAUGUAAAUGGA